CACGUAGGGUGCGAGCGUUGUCCGGAAUUCUUGGGCGUAAAGAGCUCGUAGGCGGUGUGUCGCGUCGGCCGUGAAAACCUGCAGCUUAACUGUGGGCUUGCGGUCGAUACGGGCAUCACUGGAGUUCGGCAGGGGAGACUGGAAUUCCUGGUGUAGCGGUGAAAUGCGCAGAUAUCAGGAGGAACACCGGUGGCGAAGGCGGGUCUCUGGGCCGAUACUGAUGCUGAGGAGCGAAAGCGUGGGGAGCGAACAGG
rnacentral:rRNA from 1 species